rnacentral:rRNA from 1 species
AUUGAACGCUGGCGGCAGGCCUAACACAUGCAAGUCGAACGGUAACAGGAAGCAGCUUGCUGCUUCGCUGACGAGUGGCGGACGGGUGAGUAAUGUCUGGGAAACUGCCUGAUGGAGGGGGAUAACUACUGGAAACGGUAGCUAAUACCGCAUAACGUCGCAAGACCAAAGAGGGGGACCUUAGGGCCUCUUGCCAUCGGAUGUGCCCAGAUGGGAUUAGCUAGUAGGUGGGGUAACGGCUCACCUAGGCGACGAUCCCUAGCUGGUCUGAGAGGAUGACCAGCCACACUGGAACUGAGACACGGUCCAGACUCCUACGGGAGGCAGCAGUGGGGAAUAUUGCACAAUGGGCGCAAGCCUGAUGCAGCCAUGCCGCGUGUAUGAAGAAGGCCUUCGGGUCGUAAAGUACUUUCAGCGGGGAGGAAGGGAGUAAAGUUAAUACCUUUGCUCAUUGACGUUACCCGCAGAAGAAGCACCGGCUAACUCCGUG